UUAAUCCUACGGGACGCAGCAGUGAGGAAUAUUGGUCAAUGGGCGGGAGCCUGAACCAGCCAAGUCGCGUGAGGGAAGACGGUCCUAUGGAUUGUAAACCUCUUUAGGCGGGGAGCAAUGCCGGGCACGCGUGCCCGGAGGGAGAGUACCCGCAGAAUAAGCAUCGGCUAACUACGUGCCAGCAGCCGCGGGAAUACGUAGGUGGCAAGCGAUGUCCGGAUUUAUUGGGCGUAAAGCGAGUGCAGGCGGUUCAAUAAGUCUGAU
rnacentral:rRNA from 1 species